UUUCAAAAUACACCAAGAGGACAUCCGUGAAGGCUGUGACAGCCCAACGCCCCAGCCCGGCCUCAGAGGAGGAAUGGAGCCAUCCUGCCUGCACCCCAGCCCUGGCCCACCCUGGGUCUUCAGAGGUUUGCUGUGUCCUGCUGUGUCCCACUGUACCUGGGACCUGAGGGCACCUGGACUGAACUCUGUGAUGGAAUGGGAGCCCUUGGGUGUUUCAACAACUCCACUGUGGUGCAUCUCUGCAGAGAUAACGUGGACAAAGAGAACCCUUGGAGUCAAGUCAGCUGAAAAGACCUACCUUCUCCAUCAUCUCUCACAAUCAUCUCUCAUUUGCUCCGUUGUCCAGAGAAACUUCAGUCACCAUUUGUAGACUAUGCCAGUUUCUAUGGUGUUAAUUUUCCCACCAAGACUGCUUUCAAAUUCCUAACUUGCUGUCAGUGAAUAUGGAGCUGGGAAGGGAUGUGCUACCACACAGAUACAACAACAGGUGUCUGUAGCUCCAAGAAUACAGGUAAUUAUCAAACAUAGUGAGACAAUUAGGAAGAGAUGAUUUUUAAAUGCUUUUCAAAUGUUUGUUUUUUUUUUAAACACAAUUCAUUCAAUUGUAAAUUUAUAUAAUUUUGUGUUUUGUAGCAAACUUGAGGAAUUCUUGGAAAUGCAGAGGCUUGGUACUUGAGGACAGUGCCAGCCUGUCCCAGCUCUCUGCUGGAUGUCAUAACAUGGCAUUCCAUUGAUGAUGGGGACUGGCCUGCAGUGCAACCUGGAAGUCAGUUUCCCUGACUGUUUCCCCAUGGAAUCUGCCACAGAGAUGUGCCCAUGGGGCCUUAAGAACAGACUUAGUGGUGAAUUAGGAGUAAGCAUAGAGUUAAGGACUGCUGCUUAUAAAGUUAUUGUUGUCUCCAAAUCUUCUCAAGCCCUGGUCCCUGUUCUUCAUUUCCCACGCUGAUGCAGCGUCCCUUGGGUACCCACCUACUUGGUGACCAACAGGAAGGAGGACUGAUGGGCACUUUUCCUUGGAAGGUCACAUUAGCUAGUGUCAUGUCCCUCUUGGCCUUGGCUCCUUGGUUGAUGUUCUGAUGACCCCUCCUGGCUUGAGGCCAAUGCCCCCCACAACCACGUUUGGUAUAAGAAUUGAUAUUGGCUUGGGUAUCUUCUCAAAUGCAAAGGAUGGCUAUCCUGGGUCAUCUCCAAAUGUUUAAUAUGUGGCCAGCAGUAUGAUUUUCAAUUUGGUGUUACACUUUUGUGAUUCUAAUUGCAACUUGCAAUGCCAUUCUGGACUAGCUACUUCAGCAAGUCUCCGAUUGCUCAGCUAGAGAGUGGGAGCUCCAUUGCUAAUGUCACUGGACUGUCAGCGUCUGGCGAGGUGUGCACAAGGGUGCCCCACCCCCAUCACGAGGAGCUAACGUGUGCAGUGGCUGUUUGUGGCUGCAGUCCUUGUGCUGUAAGGAUCCAAUCCUCACAGUGGCCCUGGCAAACCUGCUUUGCCCUCAGUUUACCUAAGCAAUGUCUUUGGGAUCCCCUUGAGCCUGGUCUUCUGGCAAUCUCUUCUGGAGACAGAGUUAGCCCACCAUUUGAGAGAAAACAGUCUAUAGAGUUGUGGUGGAAGAAAACUAUAACCCAAGCAGCUGGGAGGGAAGAAAGAUCAUGCCGGGUGUUGUAUGUGACUUGUGAAAGCCCCUACUGCUCCUGAGUCCUUGGUCCCCAGCUGGUAGUGCCAUUUUGAGAGUUGGCCGAGACUGGGAGGUGGGGUCUGGCUGGGAAAGCAGGUCCCCAAAGGUGUGUCUUUGAUGGUUAUAUCCUCCACCCUCCCUUCCUCUUCAGUGAGCAGAGACACUCUGUCACUCCCUGCGCCGUGAUCACAGGUUUCAGUACAGCACCAGAAGCAUCAAAGCCGGGAAUAUAGACCAAUACAUCUGCAAACAGGGGCUAACGUGGAUUGUGCCCCGUAUGCCAUUCAUACCGGAUAGGCUGUCACAGCGGCCUCAAGGCUGAGUGAUACAUUACGCUAGCAAGCUCGGGAAAAGAUGUGUUUGUGUUGGCUGGAGACAAGAGUGACGAGGCUCAGGACAGCAUCACCAGUGGGAAUGCUUCCUGUCCAGAGUCCCUCCUGGGUGUUUACCCUUCGGUGGGUAUACACUGACCUGAAGGACCCAGUGCAUCCUCUUUCUCCUAAGUGCCCAGGUCACAGAGUGAGCAGUGCUUAGGAAUCAUGAUUUCAUGGGAGUGCUCGCAAAGGGUGGUGUGCUGUCUGUGGAAGGUGGGAGGAAGCACUAGAUAAUAGAUCCUGCCUGGCAGAGUGGGGUGUUUGCGGUUCAAUACGUGUGUGAAAGCCGCCAUAGGUGUGCGUGUCCGUGGACUAGUUCAUCCCCCACCACUGAAAGAGAGAGAGGGAGACAGACAGAGGGAGAGCCCUGGUGCAUUCCAGUGCAGCAUGCUGGAGAGGCCUAGGCAGAGGGAAAGGAAAAUACGGGGGCAGUGUGGGGCAGGGGACACCGCACAAUUAUGAUGCCACCCUUGUAUUCUGGGUGCAAGGUCCCACGUUUUGAGGGACCCUGUGGCAGCUCUUUGAACUUUGAGAUGAAAUACACACACACACACACACACACACACACACACACACACACACACACACACAUAUACAUACAUAUACACACAAACACAUACACACAUAAUACAUAUACAUAUAUCUAAAAGAAACUAAGGCCAUAUCAAAUUAUUCUUUUAUUGUUCCAGUCAAAAAAAGAGGAACGCCUCAGUAUGUAAACAGUUUCCCUAACACAGCGAGUUCUUAAAUAUAUAUAUUCAUUUAUUCUAAAAAAAUUUGGCAUUGUAGAGAUUUCUCAAUACAUAAUUUGUGCUUUCGCAGUUGACAUGCUUUCGCCUCGUUGUCCGUGCGCAGACGUACUUGGAGUUGAGUGACAGGAGUUACUGAAGGAUGGAAGUGGGUCAGGAGCCAAACCGGGGCCUGAGGUCUGCCCGGCUCACUUUUCAAAAGCCUGGCGGGAGGUUGGCAACAAUGACCUCAGAAGCAGAUAUCAGCUACUUUACUGCGAAGAAAAGUUGAAGCCUUCACGGGAGUUUUUUUGGGAAGAUUUUUCUCCCUGUGUUUUUCUGUGCGUCUCUAAAAGAUCAUUGGCUUUUGCUUAAGGAAAGCUACAGGGGUGUUCCAGUAUUCUCUGCAUAUGAUUUUGCUGGGCUUACAAUUUACUAUGACAUGCCACAGAAAUGCCACUUUUUCCUAUUUUUUCCACCCACAGAUUCACUGAAUUAUUUGGGAGUGCUUGACGAUUGUGUCAAGGGCAUCCUGCUUCAGUUCAGUGCAAACUGUCCUUUUGUUCAACCGUAAAGCGUCAGGAGCUAUUUUGACGCUGUGAUGGCUUUAUUAAGAAGCCCACCUGUGGCCCUCCACCUCCAGUUCAGAGUGGUCUACGAUUUAGCACCAGUUUUCACAAUGUAUUUUUAUCAAAUCCCCUGGGAAGUCGUCUACUCUGUGUCGGCCAGCCUAGGUACUGUCCCCUGGCUCCUGCAGCAUGUCUGUAUGUCUCAAUCUGGCCCCUCAUGACACAUCUUUCCCCUGGAUCUCUCACUUCCAAAGCCCACCAAGGCGCAAGGAAUAUCAAGAUGCAUCCCUUCCUGCCACACGAUACUGUUGCUUACUGCCCAUAGAGAGGCUGGCUUGUCUUCAAAUUCCAGUCAAUGUGGUCUAGCUGCCCCUCUGGAUUAAAUAUUUUUAUUCCUAAAACUAGACUCACUUUCUUCAUGUGUAAUAUGGGGAUCAGUAUUUGCUCACAGGGGUUUGUGUUGCCACACAGUAAGAGGUUGUGGCCAUGGGGUAGUAGCUUGUUGGGGACAAUGGAAGGUGUUACUAUUUAUUAGUAUCCCCCAGGGUACCUUGCUUAAGACAUUGCUCACUGGACAGUAAGCACUCACUAUGUGUCCAUGACCAGAAUGCCUUCAUAGAGCCUUGCCCUUGUCUAGCAUGAAUUAGCUGCUGAAUCUUUUAGAACAAAAAUAAGUUUUGGCAUGCUCUCAGCCUUGAAGACUGCCACACACCUGAAAAUGAAAACCUUUGUCUGUAGGACAUAAGCAUGUUAGUAAAAACUCAAGUUCUUAGGAAAGUUUCUGGAGACAGAGGUGAAAACUAAGUCUGUUUGUGUUUCUAGUUUUUCUGGGGGAGGUUAUGUUUGUUUAAAACAUUUUAAAAUUUAAUUUAAAUUUAUGUAUAUGUGUGCAUGUCUGUGUGAGUUUAAUACCACUCGUGUGGGUGCCUGAAAAUGUCAGAAGAGGGUUCUAAUCCUCUGGAGCUGAAGGUAGUUGUGAGCUGCCCUGCCUGGAUGCUGGGCAGCAACCUUGAAUCCUCUGGAAGUGCAUUCUCAACUGCUGAGUCACAGCUCCAGCACUUUGUGUUCCUUGGAAAUGGAUUCCAGUGAGGACCUCAGGACACCUCAGCUUCAAGGCCCAGUUCCAGGGCUCCUUGACUUUGUCUUGAUAAGUCUGUGUGAGCGUUUGGUGAGAGGUUUAUGGUUCAUGGAAGUGCAAUACCUCUAGACCAGAGACUCAGUCUUGUCCUCAGUUUCAUUGAACUGUGAGAAAAGGAUUUGGCACUGAUAAUGGACUUCUGAACUAGUGGACUUUCCAGAAUAACUUUCCUAUCCUAGCUCACAGAGAAACCUCUUAUUUUACUCAGGCAGGCAAGCAUCUGGGAAAGAGAUACAAGUCAUUAUUUUCUAACCAAUAAUGAAAAGGAUUUCUUCUUUCUGCUUUGGGCAAAAAAACGUGGUGGGAAAAAGCAGUGCUGUCAACGAGAGUUACAGCUGAAAUAGAGCGGAGCUCUCGAACAUGUUGCCUUGGCUUCUCCUGUGUUUUGUGUGUGGUUUAGUAUCAACACAAUUCUGGUGAAGUCCCCACAUGCAUGUUUCCAGCGGUGCAGAGCUGGAGUUGUGUUGAAAUCAGUCAUUACAUGCUGGUAUUGAGUUACUUAAAAAUUAUCUUUAUUUAUGGGAAUCUGUUUGUGUUAGAAUGUACAUGUGUGUUCAGGAGCAUCAGGUACCCAAAAGGUGGAGUUCCAGGUGGGUGUGGGCCUCCUGACACAGGUGCCUGGACCCAAGCUCUGGUCCUCUGCGAGAGCAGCAAAUGUCCUUAAAAGCUGAGCUGCCUCUUCCAUCCCCUGGGUGACUUUCUCAUUUAAUAUGCAGCUGUGUGUUUAUUCUACGUUGAUGAUGCUAACCUUCCUUGAAGUAUUUCUCUUCUUUGGUGGAGGCCACAGUGCCCUACAAAGUGCCUACCUCAUAAUUACCUGUCUGCUCCCCGGGUUAGUGUGGAGAUGCGAGAGGGAUGUGGCUGGUGAAGGAGUGCUGGGGACAGAAGUAGGAAGAACUUACAAAGUUAAAAGCUGACUCAGGGACCAGGAGUUUAAGAGUGAUGUUGACUUAGACGGACAGGGUGUAACUAGGAACUCAUGUCAGAAUCGUAGAGACAGAGACUGUAGAGUCAAACACAUGCUGGAAAAAUGAGGAGUUGAACAUCAGGUGACAGACUCUUCUCAAGGCCACAGAGAACAUUCAUCGGGACACUUCACCCUGGGCCGUUAGAACACCUUAACACGUUAAAACCAUAAAAAUUCUAUAGUGUUCCUUUCAGAACACAGUAGAGUUAAGCUGGAAAUCAAUAAUAGAAAGAGACCUGGGAAAUCUUUAAACACUUUACGAUUAAACAGCACAAUUCUCAGUAACAUGGGGUGCAGAAAAAAACCUCGAGAGAAAUUAAAAAAAAAAAAUACCUUGAACCCAGUGAAGAUGAAAUGACGAUUUUAGACAUGAAG